GCCAUGAUAUCUGGAACGAGUAUGGCUGCGCCCCAUAUAGCAGGGAUAGCUGCACUUGUGAAGCAGAAACAUUCUCACUGGAGUCCUGCUGCCAUCAAAUCAGCCUUAAUGACAACAUCAACAAAGCUGGACAGAGCAGGAAGACCUCUUCAAGCACAACAGUACUCUGAAACAGAAGCCAUGAAGCUGGUUGCAGCUACCCCUUUUGAUUAUGGGAGUGGUCAUGUUGAUCCAAGGGCUGCUCUGGAUCCAGGACUCAUCUUUGAUGCAGGUUAUGAGGAUUACUUGGGGUUCUUAUGCACAACACCUGGUAUUGAUGUCCAUGAGAUUAAGAACUACACAAACUCUCCUUGCAACUACACCAUGAAGCAUCCAUCAAAUUUCAACACCCCAUCAAUCACUGUAUCCCAUCUGGUGAAAACUCAAACAGUUACUCGCAUGGUCACAAAUGUUGCUGAGGAAGAAACUUAUGUGAUUGCAGCAAGAAUGCAACCAUCCAUUGCCAUUGAAGCAACCCCUUCAGCAAUGACUCUCAAGCCUGGUGCAUCUCGGGAGUUCUCCGUCAGCCUUACUGUUAGAUCAGUAACUGGAACAUAUAGUUUUGGA
rnacentral:misc_RNA from 1 species